rnacentral:rRNA from 1 species
UACGAAGGUCCCAAGCGUUAUCCGGAUUUAUUGGGUUUAAAGGGUGCGUAGGCGGGCUAUUAAGUCAGUGGUGAAAGCCCCAAGCUUAACUUGGGAACUGCCGUUGAUACUGAUGGUCUUGAGUACAUUUGAGGUGGGCGGAAUGUGUCAUGUAGCGGUGAAAUGCGUAGAUAUUGGGAGGAACACCAGUGGCGAAGGCGGCUCACUGGACCGGAACUGACGCUGAGGCGCGAAAGCGUGGGGAGCAAACAGG